rnacentral:misc_RNA from 1 species
AUUUUUUAUAUUUUUUUAAUGUUCAUGUUUUUGAAUGUUUUAUUCAAAUAAUGUAAAAAAUAAAAUAGAUAUUGACAUGGAUUGAACAAAAGAUAUAUAUUAUUUUAUGUUGCAUAAACAAAUUGGCAAAAUAGAGAUGGAAGAUAAAAAUAUGGUCAAAGUAAUAAGAGUCUAUGGUGAAUGCCUAGGAGCUUUAAGGCGAAGAAGGUCGUGGUAAGCUGCGAAAAGCUUGGGGGAGAAGCAAACAUUUAUUGAUCCCAAGAUUACCGAAUGGAGUAAUCCAACUAGCAGAGAUGCGUAG